rnacentral:rRNA from 1 species
UACCUACGGGACGCAGCAGUGGGGAAUAUUGGGCAAUGGACGCAAGUCUGACCCAGCAACGCCGCGUGAAGGAAGAAGGCUUUUGGGUUGUAAACUUCUUUUAAGGGGGAAGAGCAGAAGACGGUACCCCUUGAAUAAGCCACGGCUAACUACGUGCCAGCAGCCGCGGUAAUACGUAGGUGGCAAGCGUUGUCCGGAUUUACUGGGUGUAAAGGGCGUGUAGCCGGGUUGACAAGUCAGAUGUGAAAUCCUGCGGCUUAACCGCAGAACUGCAUUUGAAACUGUUGAUCUUGAGUACUGGAGAG